UACGAAGGGGGCUAGCGUUGCUCGGAAUCAUUGGGCGUAAAGCGCACGUAGGCGGACCGCUAAGUCGGAUGUGAAAGCCCUCGGCUUAACCGAGGAAGUGCAUUCGAAACUGACGGUCUUGAGUAUGGAAGAGGGUCGCGGAAUUCCCGGUGUAGAGGUGAAAUUCGUAGAUAUCAGGAAGAACACCGAUGGCGAAGGCAGCUCUCUGGGACGGUACUGACGCUGAGACGCGAAAGCGUGGGGAGCGAACAGG
rnacentral:rRNA from 1 species